rnacentral:lncRNA from 1 species
GGAUCCAACAUCUUCUCGGGGAAUCAAGCGUCUCGGUCCGAUCUUUAAUUUGCUAGAUCAAGCAAAUCUCUACAAGGGUUUUCAUUUUGUUUCUUUUUUCCAUGUUCAUCACUCGCUAAAUAUAUAACUAGUUUGCUUUUAAUAUGUCAAACUUCUAUUAAGUACUACUUAUGGUAUUUUUAUGAUUUUAUAUAUUUUUGAUGAAACCAUGUUGAUGCUUUUUGGCUAUGUUUGUGUUUGUAAUUUUGAAUAGAUCUUAAUUAAUCAUUCUGAUCACAUCUCUAUCUACCUAUGUUUGUUUAAAUGUUUAAAAUUACAUCAACUUUUUUCUUCGAUUCUAGCUUGUUUCAUGAUAUCUAUGUAGGUGGAAUUUAUUGCUGCUCACAAAGAUAUAUGAUUUGCAGUAAGUGGCUUUCUCUUCUUGUUGAAACCAUCAACAAUCGCACACAGUGCAAACUUUCCAUUCUCAAUGACCUAUAAGCAAAAUUUUAACAUGUCAUGCUGCAAGCUCAUGGUACACAUAAUAAAUUAGGGUUUGCUUCUUUCAUGCAUGAAAGAUCAUUAUAGCUCCUUUCCUAACAUCCUUACUUGAUCUUCUUAAGGUCAUCUAUAUAUGGUAUUCAUCAGUUCUAUAACCAAGUCCAUGGGAGCUUAUAGUACGCAUAUGCCUAUGCCUUCAAUAUGUGUGUGUGCAUGUGUGUGUGUGUGUGUGUGUGUGAGAGAGAGAGAGAGAGAGAGAGAGAGAGAGAGUAUGCAUAUGCCUAUGCCUUCAAUAUGUGUGCGUGUGCGUGUGCGUGUGCGAGUGUGUGUGUGUGUGUGUGCGAGAGAGAGAGAGAGAGAGAGAGUCUGUGUGUAUGAUGUGCUUGUCUCUGUCUAUAGAUGUGCUAACAUUACAUAUGUCAACUAGAGUUAUAGCUUGUCCAGAAAUCUUGCAUUUCUAGCCUGCAUAAGGCCUUGGGGAUGUAUAUCUUUUUUUGUUUUUGUAUUUUUCAGUACUCAGUUGGAAAAUUAGGAGAAGAGCAUUGUUAAUCCAGGAACCAGGUACUGAUCAAUUUAUACAUCAUUCCCCGGUUUUCCAUGUCUGAGGAAUUUCAUUUUCCAUUUUGUCUCUUUAGCACAGGCAUUCUCUUCUCUAACAUUCUGACUUUGAUCUGAAAUUUCCUUGUACUCACAUGACACUUUUCACAUGGAAAAUGAUAUGUCCUAGCAGGAUUCUUCCAUAAUUAGAACAAACAAUCCACAGCCUUCGCGUGCAUUAACAGUUGCAGUCAAAUCUUCAAAAAUGCUUAGAGUCCACAUUGCAUCUCUUGAGAUUUAUUAAAAGACAACAGCUUGUUGAUGGCUGAUAUUGCUAAGUCUUUGCAUAAAAUUAGUAGCAGCAAAUAUCUAACAUAAAGAGAAAUAUUUGGAAUACAUAUAUACAUGCAUCCCUACAUAUGCAUAUAUGUAUUUUUCAGUACAUUUAAACAUAAGCACAAAACUUUCUUAACUAUCAUAGGUUGACCCACCAAGCCCCGCUAGCUUUAAUAAUAAUACUCGUUUGACCAAGCAAUAUGUAUAAAAGUUAAACAUUAUAAACAAUAUAAUUGGUAUGGUAUUGAUUAGUUUGACGCCAUUGAAGCCUGUUCAUUGAGAUGUCUACUCAAAGCUUCUGUACCUACGCACGCCAUGAUGCCUAUAGAGUCAACAAAAAAAAAGUGGCUUGCAUGUUGUUCUUCGAAUAUUAGGAAUCUAAGUGCUUGACAAAGAAUUUAGUGCUUUGCAAAACUAUAAUAUCAUCAGAGAACUUAUCUCCAAUAAGUAGACUGCAAGAGUUUCUGCAAAUUGAAACGAUGCGCGCAGUAGCUCCGUUCAUCAAAAUCUAGGCUUUAAUUCAUU